GGAAUCUUCCACAAUGGACGUAAGUCUGAUGGAGCAACGCCGCGUGAGUGAAGAAGGUCUUCGGAUCGUAAAACUCUGUUGUUAGAGAAGAACACGAGUGAGAGUAACUGUUCAUUCGAUGACGGUAUCUAACCAGCAAGUCACGGCUAACUACGUGCCAA
rnacentral:rRNA from 1 species